rnacentral:rRNA from 1 species
AUGGCCGCCGCCGCCGCCUCCGCGGAGGCCGCCGCCAUCACGCGGCGCCUGGCCUCCUGCAACACCGGCGCCCGCGAGCGCGCCGUCCGCCACCUCCUCGCCGACUUCCUCCCCGCCUCCGCGCCGCACCUCUCAGCCACCGACCUCCUCAAGCUCUGGAAGGGCCUCUUCUUCUGCUUCUGGCACGCCGACAAGCCGCUCUACCAGGCCGACCUCGCCUCCCGCCUCGCCGCCGCCGUCUCCGCCGCCGCGACGCCCGCCGCCGCCGCCGACUUCCUCGCCGCCUACCUCGCCACCAUCCGCCGCGAGUGGUCCGCCAUCGACGUCCACCGCCUCGACAAGUUCUACCUCCUCAACCGCCGCUUCCUCCACCACGCCUUCCUCUUCCUCGGCGCCCGCUCCUUCGCGCCCGACGUCACCGCCCAGAUCGUCUCCGUCAUCUCGGAGAAGGCCGUCCUACCGGAGGCCGACAACGCCACCGGUCGUGGGCUCGGGUACCAUGUCGCCGAUGUGUUCCUCGACGAGAUCUUGCCCGUGCUCCCGGUUAGCUUGCAGUCGAUGGAGCUGCUGUUGGCCCCCUUCUUCACUGUGCUGGAGAAGUCGACCGACAGGGUGCUGGUGAGUAAGGUUAGGUCCAGCUUGUUUGAGAGGUUUCUGGAGAGCGGCAGUCAGCUGCUUGAGAUGGCGAGGAAAGGAGAAGGGGUGGAGAAGGGGAGCGUGGAGGAGAAGCUUGGAAAGGUCGGGCUGUUGUUUGGAUUCAGCAAGAGGUUCCUGGAUAUCGGGGCGAGUGCUGAGACAGUGCAGGGAAAUCGGAAGGUGGUGUUUGGGCUGAGGGAUGCCUUUGUUAAGCUCGAAAAGGGAUUGGAGCUGUCUGGGGUUAAGAUCUCUGAGCCAGAGUUUCAGGGCACUCAGGUGCCAAUGGUGGCAGUGGUAGAAAAUGGCAUGGAUUUGGAUGAGGCAAAGGUGGAAAAGAAGAGGAAGAAGAAGAAGGCAAAGAAGGCUGCAUUAGUUGAAGGUGGGGAGGAGGAGGAGAUCAAGGCUCUGAAGCAAGAGAAGAAGGUGAAGAAAGACAAGAACAAGAAGGAGAAAAAAGAAAAGAAGAAGAAAAAUAAGGUUGAGGAUAGUGAUGGAGGGGAUAGCAGUGAGCAGAGUAUAGAUGCCACAUCAGAGGACCAGCAGAUGGGCGAUGACCCUGAUGCCAUUACAUUUGAUGAGGCUUUGAUGUCCAAUCUUCAAAAGCAGUUUGAGAAGGCUGCCGCAGAAGCUGGGAUGCCGGUGACACCAGUUACUGCUAAAGUGGCAAAGAAGAGGAAGCGCUCAAAAUCUUCUGAUAGGUCAUCAGAAGUUUCUGGUGGAGGUGUGGGUAGCGAAGGUAAUGUUCCUGCUCAGGAUGGAGAUAAGAGUGGUAAGAAAGUGAGGUUCUCAAUGAAGAGUAAUCUAGUUUGGAACCCUCCUACUCCUUUACCACCACAGUGCUUGAGGCUCCCACCAUCUGCUACUCCAAGAGGGAGUGCACUAAAAAGUGGAGUUCGGCCUGGGCCUAUAAAGGAAAGCUCCACGCCGGUGAAGAAGGCCAAGGCAAAAGCAAAGUCUGCAAAGAAGAUGUUGAAGAAGAGCCCUUCCUCGGCUGUGAAGCGCUUGCGGAAGUUGCAAACCUUCUCCGCGUGA